rnacentral:rRNA from 1 species
UACGGGGGGGGUAAGCGUUGUUCGGAAUUACUGGGCGUAAAGGGCUCGUAGGCGGCCAACUAAGUCAGACGUGAAAUCCCUCAGCUUAACUGGGGAACUGCGUCUGAUACUGGAUGGCUUGGAUUCGGGAGAGGAAUGCGGAAUUCCAGGUGUAGCGGUGAAAUGCGUAGAUAUCAGGAGGAACACCAAUGGCGAAGGCAGCUCGCUGGAACGGUACUGACGCUGAGGCGCGAAAGCGUGGGGAGCGAACAGG